UCAUUAUUGCCUAAAAAAAUAAUAACAAAGUGAUUCUCACUUCAUGUUCGCCUAAUUAUUAGCAUUUCUCCACAUAUCUGAACCUAUAUUAGUCCUCCAUAUAUUAGCAUCUCCUCGUUCCUGCUCUUGUGUUUGAACAAUGGGUUCAUGAUCAUAGUCUUCGGAAUUUGGUAACACUGAAGAUGAAGACUCGUCAGUAGGUUCCACUGGAAAUUGAACGACAUUCUUUGCGAAGAAAAUUAUGAAGUGCUGCACAUGCCAACACAAGCUCUGCUUGUGUUUUAAAUAGAAAUGGAGGUGCUGACUUAAAAAUUGUGAACCGCGAUUUAAAAAUACCAAAUAUCCUCUCAAUC
rnacentral:lncRNA from 1 species